UAUAACCAGCCUAGUUAAAAUGAACGAAAUGACACAAAAAAAGAUUAGUUCAUUUUAAUGAACGAGAUUUGGUGACUCAAGUCUUUCAAAAGAGUGACUUUUCCCAUCACUAUUAUUCUGCUGGUGUCAGAGUAAUUUUCUUGCAGUACACUUAUUUUCCAUCCAUUAAAAAUGCCUGCUGUCUUUAUUGCUGGGUAAUGAGAGCUGAACACAUUCAGCCAGGCAUAUGGUUCAUCAGUCCAGAAGAUUAAAUUGCAGGAUCUUCCAUCUUUGUAGUGGUCCAGGAACAGGAUUUCUGGUCUUUCUCGAAGUAUUGUUUGUUUAUAUUUUCCCCUUGCAGUUUUGCUUUUGAUAGCUGGGGGAUAUUCAAUGGUUUCAGAGUGUGUAGACAUCAUGAAACAGUUGUUGAUCUUCAAGCUUCUGUGUUCUGAGUUUAAAACAGCACUACUGCUGUUAUUAAUGUUGUUGCUAGGUAACCACAGUCCAGUGUUAGCUUGUUAGCUAUUAGCUUGAGUAUUUCACUUGUUUUAUAGUAAUGAAUGCAAAAACUUACUUCAGUGUCCAGUAGUUUGCUGUUACUUGCUUGAGUCCCUCUAUCCUCUUCUUCGUUUGUUUUUGUUCUCUCUGUGUUUGUUUCCCUUCAGUUUGAUGCUCUGUUUCUGAGCUCCUUCUUCAAACUGUAUCUCUUUUCCUUCUGUCUCUUUAUUUAUCGUUCUUUUUCCACUUUUUUCUCCUCUGGUGUAUUGUAGUUACUUCUUUUGCAUCUUCCUCCUAAAAAGUUGGUGUUCAUAUAAUUUUUGGACCGAAAACAAGCGUUUUGUUUAGCAGCAAGCCUUAAACAUGACUUCUCACCAACAACAACAACAACUCCCGCCUAGCUUGACGUGACCGACCGAGUUAGCUCAAGCUAAGGAGCUAAUGAUAUAUGAGGUAGCUUCUAAACCCCCGGCACUGUACGGUGGAGUUUGGAACCUGUGGCGGUUUUGUUACCAGUUUACGGUCAUUACCAGCUUACAGCCAAGAGUCACACUGGAUCAGAUGUCCCACCUGGUACCCAGAGAGCUGCAGAGACCCGGGAAGCCUCCACAUUGUGCUUCUGACUGAAGUGGAAAGGCGUUCUCUCCUGUUUACUUUGUGUUUUAAAUAUUGUCCAUAUUUCAGUUAAAGGUCCAUUUAAAAAAAAGAUAUGGUUCACAUUACAAUAAAUUCCAUAUAUAUUAGCACUCCCUGUCUUUACUACUUACUGAAAAUGUCAUGGGUUGGUCUCUCUCCCCUCUUUUCCUCUUGUUCUCAGUUUCCCUGCCCCUGUUGUUUCUGUCAGUCAUGUGUGUCUUGUCCCAUGUCUGUGUGUGAUUGGGCGUGUCCGAGCCUGGCCUCUCUCCACCUGCAGCACUCCGCACCUGGGACUCAUCAACGCCUGCAGUCUUAAGCUCUGGUUCAGUCUCCACUCGUCGCCAGUUUGUCCGUUUACCUACAGUGGUAUAUCGCUCUGGCCAAUUUCCUAGUUUGCCUAAAUACCUUUUUGUGACUUUGCCUAACCUCUUGUUUCCCGUCUGCCACAGUUCCACCCUGGUGUGGAGUCGCUGCCAGCCUGCCUGUAUUCUGGAUCACCAGUCCGUUGUUCACUGCCUGCCAGUCUGCCUGCCCGUCUUGACACCGUGCGAUCGGAUCCCCCCGAGACUGGAAACUCUCCGCCAGCCCCCCGAACUCCUUUGCGAUCUCUGAGCUCUUUAAAUAAAGUCCUGCCUGUGUGCCUGCCUA